rnacentral:misc_RNA from 1 species
CUCCUAGCAGCGCACAGAGGCCCACGACAGGAUGGAGUCGCUUCCGUCUAUUCUCCCUUCCUCCCCUGUGCGCAAGAGGAAGCCCCGCACGGCGCCUCCUUACACAACCACGGACGCGCAUCCACCUUUUCGCCGCCCUAUCCCCGGAGUCGCAUCAGCGAUGGCAUCUACCGAGGACGGCAUCAAUCGCAACAGGCUUCGGCAGGAAGCGGGCCGACGCGUCCAACACAUCACAUGCGGUGUGGCCGAGCGCGAGACGUAUCGGGGUGUGCUGCUGCACAUCGAGGAUCGCUUUGCGCACACGUCGCAGGGGGAACUGCGCCCUCUCGUGCUGCCGCCGCAGCUGCCCUCGAUUGUGCGUCCACGAGACCCACAGAUGUCAAAGUUCUCCCGCGGAAUGGCGAUUUGCCAUAAGCUCAAGGGGGGCGGCAGCGCAGGGGCCUGUCUCUCAGCGGCUGCCGUCACAGGGGGCCCGAAGCACGGGGGCGCCGUCGGUCACCUAGAAUCCGCCGAGGCUACCACGGAGGCCUCCACAGAAGCGCCGUCCGCGUCCACCGGCUUCACAGACGCUCAUAGGUGGGAGAUGCUUGAUGUGACGGACCGCGCCUUCUUCCGGUGCUCGACGGCAAACGCCCCGACGAGCAGGGGCGGCUCGAUGGCCAGCUCGAGCGUGGCAGCACCGUUGGAGCCCCGCACCUUGGCCGCCUCAACGCCGAUGGAUCUACUGCCAACGCUGGCGGAGAAAUGCGCCUACUUGUGCGAGCUCGAGACGGCGGAGCGCCAAUACGUGCUCGCGUACGAGAGGUGGGACCAGCAGGUGGUGUUGGAGAUGAUGGCCGUGAACUUCGUAACGUUCGUCUUGAAGCCGUCCAUGGACGUUCUGCGCAAAGAGGAGCUGGAGCAGCGGGAGGCCAUCGCGCAGGAGGAGGAUCGGCUCAGCUUCUAUAUGUACAAUGACUCCCCGCUCGCGCUGCAGGUGCAGGAGGGCAAGAAGGCCCUGAAGGCCCGCAUGCUGCAGCUAGACCGCAUUCUGGGACUGACGUCGGCAGCACCGCGGCCCACAGCGCUCGUAGAGGAAGCAGCGGAAGCGACUCACGCGACUCCUGUAACCGCGGCCCCGGCGUCAGCGGCGGUGCCAGUUCAGUCGGAGGGGGUAAGCAAAGUCUCGCCGGUGUCUUUCUCGUUGGAUGCGCGCACAGCUUCCUCAGUGACAGCGACGUCGCCACAGCUGCCGCUUGACGCUGGCGUGCCCAGCGACGAGGCGCGGCGCAUACUCCGGAGGUAUGUGCUACAGCGCCACGGCACCUCGCUGAGCGCCGUCGGCGCAUGCACUACGAUGCCUCAAGAUGACAACAACUGGUCACAAACGAUGGCCUCGGCCUAUCCCUGCGGCGACAGGAGUGACACUGUGUGCCAGUCAUCUACACUGAUCCUGCCGCCCAUCGCCAGUGCGCAGGCACCACGCCGCAACGCCGUCGGCAUCGCUGACUACAUCGCCCUUCUCGAUGAGAGCACAAAAUACUAUGAGCAGAUCGUCAAGACUGAGGAGCGUUGCCGCGCCGACAUGAGCCAGGCCUUCUACGAGGAGCUGCAGGUGGUGCUCGAGUGGCAGCGGCGCCGCAUGCACCUUGAACGGCUUCUAUACUGGCGGCGCCAGCGCGAGACCGUCUUGCAGGAGGAGGUCGAGGCGCUCAUCACCGUCACCCCUGUGUUGCGGCUGGAUGAGAAGGUGUUGCUGUUGCUGAAGAUCCUGGAAGGGGAGGAGGAGACGGUGCGAAGGUCCGUUCAGGACGAGGAACACGCAUCCCUCCAGCUGCUAAGGCAGGCGGGUGAGGACUUGCGCGACGUCUUCAACAACGUCUCCCUGCAGGAACGCUGCAUGGACGCCCUCAACUCGAAGGUGUGGACGGCAGAGGCAGUGGCUAGGCGGCGACUUGUCAUUGCUGAGGAGGCGGAUGAGCGCCGCUUCUCGGAGCGUUUGUAUCGUGAGCAUCUCCUCUCGACUUUGACGGGCGGCAUGGCGCAGCUGCGUGUUCUGUGGCACGUGAGCACCGCCCCUGCGCAGUGCGCGGCGCUGCAGGUGCUGCAGAAGGCGUUCCGUCGCUCCCUGCGCGGGCGUCUCGGGUGGCGGUUCACGCAUCAAGCAUUGGGACGCGAGAUCAACGACGCCCGGAACGCAAAAAAGAUCGCCACCGGCAAACUCGCCUUCCAGUCCUUCAAGAACGUGCUGUUGGCCGAGAGGACGCAGCUGUGCGAGGAGCAGGCGCAGCAGCACCUCCGUGAGCAGUACAAGCUGUUCGCCAAUGAGUCUGGCGACCGUGCGGCGGUGUGCGCGGAGCAGGAGUGGAGUCGCAAUGACGUCGCUCGAGCACACCUGCUGCACAUCGAGGAGGUGUACGCGCCGCUGCUCACGGGGACGGUGGUGGCCGAGAGCGAAGUGCGGCUGGAGCUGGAGGUGGAGGAGGAGCUGGAUAGAGACGCUCUGCUUGCCACCAACGCGGCUUUGAUCGGUAUCAUUGAGCAGAAGGAGGCCACACUGCUGAAGGAGAGGGCUGGGCGCAAGUCUAAUGUGCGCGAAGAGCGGGCGUCGUGGCACCAGCUGCUCAGCGUCGAGUAUGAUGAGCGCGAGGUGCACCGCCUCGAUGAGGAGGUGCGCGAGGCAGCACGCGAGAAUGCUCGGGCCGCCUUUGCCGAGGCGGCAGUGAAGGAAAGCCGCCGUCAUCAUGAGCGCGCCAUGUUGAUGCACGUCGCUCGCAUGAGCGAGGCCCUUGUCAGACUGCUCGGCUACGAGGUGGGCGAUAGCGCGAUGCGGCGUGGCAUUGAGGAGGAGGAGGCGGCGGCUGCUCGCAACUUGAUCGACACUAUGGCCACCACCCAGUGUGCUGCUUACGCGUCCGCCCUUGAGCAGCGCCGCCAAGUCGAGCUUAACAGGGUGCACCAGCAAGCGAUCUGCAUCGAGGAAACGGAAAACCGCGCCAGCAUACUGCACGAGGAGGCCGCAGCGUGGGCCACCACGGAGCAGGAGGUACACAUUCUGUUCUCGGGCCCACUGCAUGACCUGAUGGUGCGCCGCGGCGCUGUGAACGUGAUUAGUACGUGGUACACCGCCCUGCGUAACGGCGAGAUAGGGCGGUCUGUGUCCCGGCAACGGCUUCGCGACGACCUUUCCCGUCAUCGUGAGGAGCGUCAGAUGCGCUCGCAGCAGAUCGCGCAGCGGCUUCACACGCAGCGUGUGCGCAGCCAGCUUGACAUCCUGAUGAUGGAGAUGCAGAAGGAUCAGCAGGAGGGGGUGCAGCAGCUGCUGAAUAUUCUCGUGAAACUCGAGGAGCCGCGUAAGCGGGAGCAGAUCGAGUCGCUGCAGGAGAUCGUCUUUGAGAUUCUCGAGCGCAACGCGGAGGCCCACCUGGUUGAAGUUCGCCGCAACUUUGUCAACACCGAGGCGCUGAUUUGGCAGCAGGAGUCGUACGAGCGGAAGGUGCUGAAGAAGGCGUGGCGCCGCACGCGUGAGGAGCUGCUGGAGCAGAGGCGCCGGCAGCUGAGUGAGGACUACUUUGCGCUGCGCAUUCAGCGUAUGUGGAGAAAGUACGCGGCAGAACUGGAAUGCAGGCGCAACAUGUCAGCGCAGCGCGCGCAGGUGGCGGCGCUGGAGGUGCAGGCGCGUGCGGCAGUGGGGCUCGAGGAGCUGGAAGAGGCAGCAACGCAGCUGUACAAGCCGUGCCUGUCCUCCUUGUACUUUGACACGCACGUGCGGCGAUCUCUCGCGCGCGCGUGUGACGAGCUCGCAGUCGGUGUCGCGGAUGCGACGCAGGCAGAAGAGUGGAGCGAGCGAGUGUCGCUGUUGUGGGAGAUGCGCUACGAAGACUGCGAUCCGUGUCUGUGUGAGGACGAAGCCCGUGCACGACGUGUGCUCGAGGCCCAGUUCCACAAGCCAUUUCUGCUUCAGUCCGAGCUCAAGGGCGAGGAGCAUCUCCAGCGUACAAUGCUGAUGCGGGAGCGCACACUCUUCCUGUUGCGCAUUCUCGCGCGCGAAGAGCGUCAGCGACGUCUGUCGCUGAUGUCGGCCGAGGACCAGCAGAGGGUGUCGCUACGUGGGCAGCUUGCCGCUUCUACCCCAGCCGAUGCGCAGACGCCGUAAGCGGUGGCGCUGGUAGCGGGCGGCAUCGAGCUCUCCUUUCACCGUGAGCACACUUUUUUUCUCUCGGCGUGCGCCACUUUCCUCUGCGCGUCUUUUCUUUCGGCUCUUGGGGCAGAGCCUGGAUGUAUAGGCAGCUGUGGGCGUGCGUGCUUUCGCCCAGACGCGAUCACUUUCUAUUUCAUUCAUCUUAACUCCGAGUUGUGGCGAGUGCAGCGCUCCACCACCAGACGUUCAAGUGGCACGCACGCGAGGCCGCCGCCCACGCUGUAGUUGGCAGACGCGCACACACUUACAACCCGUGACGCCUCCGUUCGUGUGCGGAAGCAGAAUAUGUACACACACGCACAGCUCCCUCCCUCCUCCCGUCAUUCUCUUCCUCAUUUUCUGUUAACUUUCUGAAAUGCCCUUUGUUAUUUUUUUUUUGAUUGGAGGGACGGGCAGCAAGUGAGCGCACGCAUAUCCGGUCUUGCCUGCCCGCCUGCGUGCGUCUCUCUCUCUCUGCAUGGAACCCGGCACGGCUACUAUUGCGCACAUGAGUUCGCUGCGUGUAUGCGGCGCCUUCCCUUCUGCGCGUCUCCUUCCCAAUCAGCCUGCGUCCCAUCUUUAUGGUGUUCGCACGCGUUGAGUGGGGCACGCUCCUCAGACGGCCUCGGGUGUACCGCUGUGCUUCGUUGUGAGACUGUUGGUCUCUCUCCUCCUCUUUGGCAUGUAAGCACACCCACACGCAGAAAAAGUGAACGGUUUUGCGCUUUCACUGCAUCCUUCACCCCCCCCCUUCUCAGCAGCGGAGAUGGGGCAGCGGUGCAUCGGUACGGUGCAGUGCUUGUUGAUGCACCUGGCUAGCUGGAUGCACUGGGAUCGGUGUGUGGCGUGCGUGUAUGUCCUUGAAGUGCUCGAGCGGACCUUAUCGGACAGCAGAUGCUGCACCAGCCGACGUGGACACUGUCGCGGCAUUGAUCGCUGGCCCAUGUCUUUGCCUCCUUCCCCCGGGCCGGAGUGUCUUGGGCACAACUGGGAAUCCGCUCGCGCCAGUCGCACACGGCCAUCGCUGCAGGCAGGGGCAAGGAAUCCGAGGGAUGCGGCUGGGGCGCUGCCGUUGAAUUGAACCCCCCCCCACUCUCUUUCGUCACUCUUCUCCUGGUGCGCCACCCCUUCUCCCUUCCCAUCUCUCUUCCCUUCUCUCGACGUGUACUGCUCGGUGUUGCGGUUGCUGCCGGACACCGCCGUCCCGCUUCUCUCCUCUAG